rnacentral:rRNA from 1 species
CCCUUAGAUGUUCUGGGCCGCACGCGUGCUACACUGAACGGUUCAAUGGGUAAGGUAGUGCGAAAGCAUGACCUAAUCUCGAAAUCCGUUCGUGCUGGGGAUAGAAGCUUGCAAUUAUCCUUCUUGAACGAGGAAUACCUUGUAAGCGUGAGUCAUCAUCUCACGCUGAAUACGUCCCUGCCCUUUGUACACACCGCCCGUCGCUCCUACCGAUUGAGUGUUCCGGUGAGGCUUUGGGAGAAUGGCCUCAACAUGAGUUUAUCGUGUUUUGCCGUUUGAACUUAGUCAAACCUUAUCACUUAGAGGAAGGGGAAGUCGUAACA